rnacentral:rRNA from 1 species
UGCAGCGGCACCACAUGGUGAUGUUGUUAAAGCUCUUGUAGCGUCUAUGGAUGGGCUUGCAUUCGAUUAGCUAGUUGGUAGGGUAAUAGCCUACCAAGGCUACGAUCGAUAGUUGGUCUGAGAGGAUGAUCAGCCACACUGGAAUUGAGACACGGUCUUGACUCCUACGGGAGGCAGCAGUGGGGAAUAUCGGGCAAUGGACGAAAGUCUGACCCAGCAACGCCGCGUGGAGGAUGAAUGUCGUAAGAUUGUAAACUCCUUUUGAAGGGGACGAAAAAUUCCGAUAACAUCGGAACUUGACUGUACCCUUAGAAGAAGCCCCGGCUAACUACGUGCCAGCAGCCGCGGUAAUACGUAGGGGGCAAGCGUUGUCCGGAUUUACUGGGUGUAAAGGGCGUGUAGGCGGGAGAAUGUGUCAGAAGUGAAAUCGCGCGGCUUAACCGUGUCAAUUGCUUCUGAAACUGUUCUUCUUGAGUACGAGAGAGGCAGAUGGAAUUCCAGGUGUAGCGGUGGAAUGCGUAGAUAUCUGGAAGAACACCAGUGGCGAAGGCGGUCUGCUGGCUCGUAACUGACGCUGAGGCGCGAAAGUGUGGGGAGCAAACAGGAUUAGAUACCCUGGUAGUCCACACCGUAAACUAUGGUCACUAGAUGUCGGAGGAUUCGACCCCUUCGGUAUCGACGCUAACGCAUUAAGUACCCACCUGGGGAGACG